AACGUAGGGGGCGAGCGUUAUCCGGAUUUACUGGGCGUAAAGCGCGUGUAGGCGGCCUGGGAAGUUGGACGUGAAAGCUCCUGGCUUAACUGGGAGAGGUCGUUCAAAACUAGUGGGCUUGAGGUUGGAAGAGGAGCGUGGAAUUCCCGGUGUAGUGGUGGAAUGCGUAGAUAUCGGGAGGAACACCAGUGGCGAAAGCGGCGCUCUGGACCAAGCCUGACGCUGAGACGCGAAAGCGUGGGGAGCAAACGGG
rnacentral:rRNA from 1 species